AUGUCUAUCUCUCCCAAAGAAGUAAAAGAAGCUAUUGUAGAUGAAGAUGAAGAACCUGAGAUUCAUUUGCCUAUUGUCAUACAUGAGCGUGAUGUGUCAAGUUUACCCAAUCCUCUUAAUGACAUGUCCUAUUACGUUUUCUUUGCUUCUACCUUGCAUUACAUGAUACCAUCACUCAAGAUUGAUUUGAAAAAUCAUUGGCUUGGAUAUGAUGAUACAUACACUGUUGGUGGUAUUGCUCUCAUUUAUGAUGAUGACACUUAUUCUCCUCAUGCUAGACCUAUGCUUAAUGAUAAAUAUCAUCCUCAUGUUAGUAUUGAGGUUGCUGAUUCCUAUCAUACUCAUCAUGUUCUUUAUUGCUAUACUUAUGUAAUUGGGUACUCUAUUGAUGAUUUAGUGGACAUUACCCCUAUCACUCAUAUUGUCUCUUUGAUUGAGUGCUUUUUCAGGUUUUUGCUACUACACCGUCCACUACACGCUUACAAGGUUCGAGGUGGCAUUCCUUGGGACCCUGUUGGACUUAGAGCAUGGUGA
rnacentral:rRNA from 1 species